CUGUAGGAGUUCUUCAUGUUUUCCUCAGAGCUGGGAGAAAAAUGUGAAGCAAUAAGUGAGAAAUUGGUGCAUCUGGAAGAUCAACUGCAGACUUCCGCCUGCAGAGUUGACGAAGGAGUUAUUCAGGCUCUGCAGAGGGAGAUCCAGGUGGUGAAGGAGACACUCCAGACCGUGCUGGUGCAGCUUCAGCCAGCCAGAGAGGCAGGAGAAGAAAAGGCUGGAGACUUCCUCUGUGACAGCUGGUGUCCAGGAAAACAGGACUUGAAGGAAUAAUGAGCAGAAAGAGCUGGUAGGAUGACAUUAAUUCACAAAGGGCUGCUUUUAGUAACUGAAUACUAUUUUACCAAGCCUCAGGGAUCUCUUUCUCCCUGCAUAACUAAUAACUAAAUCAAUUAUGGAGAAACAGAGCCUGGAGGUCCAUCAUCAGAAGUAUUCCACACAGCCUCGCAUGUUUUGGCACAGAUUGGGAAACAGCUUUCAGAACAGAGCAUCCCCUGUAAAUGUGUAGAUUACAAAUUGAUACAUUUCAAGUGAGUCUGCAAAGUUGCCUUUCAUGUCAGUGAAAUGUUCUUCUUGAAGAUUCAUAAACAAUGUGUCUUCCUUACUCAUGGACUCUUUUUUUUUUUUCCCCCUCCCUGAUCUUAAAAUGUAGUGUUAAAGCUGGAACUUCUAGUAUUUCUUAAAAAAAAGAUGUAAGAAUAAGAACAACUUCCUCCCCCCUCCUCCUUGGCUUUAACAGCUUCCUUACACUGAAUGUAUUUUCACAUUCCUGCCAAUAAUUAAAUCAAUAGGAUGAAAUUUAAGCUUACCAAGUUCUUUCAACUGAAAUUGGGUCCUCGUUUACUCAGUGGUAUUGAGUACAGCAGAGGUAACCAACAGCAGCCCCUAGAGCAGUAGUCUCACUCUUUUCAUUUAGGUAUUAAUAUAAACUUGCUUUAGUAUUACCAGGGUUAUAAAGCA